CACGUAGGGUGCGAGCGUCGUCCGGAAUUAUUGGGCGUAAAGAGCUCGUAGGCGGUGUGUCACGUCGGCCGUGAAAACCUGGGGCUUAACUCUGGGCGUGCGGUCGAUACGGGCAUCACUAGAGUUCGGCAGGGGAGACUGGAAUUCCUGGUGUAGCGGUGAAAUGCGCAGAUAUCAGGAGGAACACCGGUGGCGAAGGCGGGUCUCUGGGCCGAUACUGACGCUGAGGAGCGAAAGCAUGGGUAGCGAACAGG
rnacentral:rRNA from 1 species